rnacentral:rRNA from 1 species
UACGUAGGGUGCGAGCGUUGUCCGGAAUUAUUGGGCGUAAAGAGCUCGUAGGCGGUUUGUCGCGUCGGCUGUGAAAACUGGAGGCUUAACCUUCAGCUUGCAGUCGAUACGGGCAGACUUGAGUUCGGUAGGGGAGACUGGAAUUCCUGGUGUAGCGGUGAAAUGCGCAGAUAUCAGGAGGAACACCGGUGGCGAAGGCGGGUCUCUGGGCCGUAACUGACGCUGAGGAGCGAAAGCGUGGGGAGCGAACAGG